rnacentral:rRNA from 1 species
AGUGAACGCUGGCGGCGUGCCUAAUACAUGCAAGUCGAACGGAGUGGCGCACGGGUGAGUAAUAUAUAGCUAAUCUGCCCCUUGCUGGAGGACAACAGUUAGAAAUGACUGCUAAUACUCCAUAGCAAGGGAUGAGACUAUAUCGUAUCAGCUAGUCGGUGGGGUAAAGGCCUACCGAGGCGAUGACGCGUAACUGGUCUGAGAGGAUGAUCAGUCACAUUGUACUGGAGCCACGGUCAAAGAGCCUACGGGAGGCAGCAGUAGGGAAUAUGGCCCAAUGGGGGAAACCCUGACGCAGCUACGCCGCGUGGAGGAUGGCACUUUUCGGAGAGUAAACUCCUUUUGUUAGGGAAGCGGUACCUAACGAAUAAGCACCGGCUAACUCCGUGCCAGCCGCCGCGGUAAUAC